AUGGACAAAUUUGUGCGAAUUUACAGUGGUGGGGAGCUGGUGAAGGGUCCAAAUGGGGUGGAAUUCGGGGACCUCUCGGAGCAGGGUAUAUGGUUCAAGGCAGCACCCACAUACAGUGAGCUGAUCGACGCCGUGUACAAGAAGCUCGGGCUGGAACCAGCGACACACAAUGUCCGCGCACAGGGAAGGACGAAUGUUGGCGGCGGCGCUCAUCGGCACUUCAUCUUGGUGCCUAUCGAUGACGAUAUGUCCUGGAGUAACUAUGUCAAAGCAGUUUUCAAUGGCACCGACUGGAAUUGCCUGGAGGUUUAUGUUCAGACAGAGGAGCGUCCAUCUGCAGAGCCGGUUUCCCCAGAGCCUGCAUUGCUGGACAGUGAACCACUGGAUGCGCAGCAUCAGAAUACCCCACCGCGAGAUCCAGAACUGGGCGCUUCUCUUUUUGCUCCUUCGAUGGUGACCGCCAAUGCACCAACCGUUCAUCCUCAACAUGCUCGGCUACGAAGAAUAAGGAGCGCCAGAGCCCGUGCUGGCAUUCGUGGGCAGGUUGCAGGUGAAGAGGUUCAGUCUGGUCAAUACCAGUGUGGAGCUUCAGGGACAGUUGAUACAACUAGCUGUCUUUUAAUUGGGCUGUAUGACGAGGUUCAUCGUGCUCGUGCUUUAGCAGCAGGCCAGCAUCUAACUGAGCUCAAUCCUCGUAACCGUGAGCCUCUCCGGUUUGACAAGCGGUAUGAACGUUACCUUAGGCCAGCUGGGUUGAUGGGGUUGGCGAACAUUUGCAGGGCUGGACUGCCCUCCAUUGAUCGUGCACUCGUCUCUGCACUAGUUGAUCGAUGGAGACCUGAGACACACACUUUUCACAUGCCUUGUGGUGAGAUUACAAUCACACUACAGGAUGUUGCGAUGAUUCUUGGGCUACCUAUCUCUGGCCAUGCUGUCAUUGUAAACAAAACAGAGUCCUACAUUGAAUUGUACCAGCGUUACCUUGGGAAGGCACCUCCUUCAGAUAAGUCCCGUCCUGGGUUGAGGGUUGCAUGGGUCAGAGCUGAGUUUAAUAAGUGCCCUGAAGAUGCCGACGAGGAGACCGUAAAGCAGCAUGCUAGGGCAUACAUCCUUAGCCUGGUUGGUGGUCUAUUGUUUCCUGAUGCCUCUGGUGAUAGGGCAAUGUGUGAUGCUUGCAGGAGGCAAUCAGAUCAAAGUAAUCUAACUGGUUGCCUUCUGCUCCUUCAGUUCUGGUCAUGGGAGCGCUUCCCAAUCGGCAGGCCAGAUAUGCUAAAGCCGAAAUUCCCAAACGUGGAUGAGCUAGAGGAUGACAGGGAUAGACCCACAGUUGGUCUCAGAUGGGUUGUGGGGGCGUGCACGUAUCGGUCAGCUCCAGCACGUUGCUAUGAGCACUUUACAAAUGAGUUCGACUUAUUAACAGAUGACCAGGUUGUUUGGAGCCCAUAUAGGGACGACCGUGUGAAGACACUACAUCUUGCACCUAUAUGUACCCAGGACUCUCAUUUGUGGCUAACUCAAGCACCUCUAGUUUUUUUCUUUAUGGUGGAGGUUUACACACCGGAGAGAGUGAUGCGUCAAUUUGGUCUCCAUCAGGAAUGCCCGCCACCAUUUCGGGACACCAGCGUGGAACUCCAUUGGUGUUGCCGUGGAAAGGUCCGUAGUGAUUGGGCAGAUAAGCAUAAGUCUUUUGUGGAUAUGUGGGAAGUAAAGGAGCAGCAUGUUAUCAUGGAAGAACGACCAUACGAUCAUGCCAACUACAUGGAUUAUUUGCGGUGGUACAGACGGUUGACACGUAUCCGCCUCUGCACACCGAGAAUAAGUAAUGGCCACCAGGAUGGGGCAUCCGUGCGAACUGCAACAGCUGAUGAUGAAGAUUCUUUGCGUGCUUCAAAGCUUCGGUACACCCCCAGAGCUCAUCUGAUCCACUCAGUGACUGACAAACUCACUAUUCUGGCGAAGGAGGCAGCUUCACAAAAGGGCUGCUCCAGAGGCGAAUGUAGCGCUUUCAUUGAGCGAGUCACUAGAACGUGUGUAGAACUUGUUGGGGAACUUGGCGGGUCAUCACUUUGCGACAUUGCUGCUGCGGUUCCGGAUUCAACAACUAUUGCAGCUGAACAGGGGUCCGAGGGCCAGAGGGACACAGAGGAUGAGUUAAAUAACUCCAUGGUGCCUGAUCAGGAGAAUGAGUCGGGCCCUGUUCGUGAGAAGCGGACUCGAUUCCAGGUUGAUCAUACACAAGUGAACAGCAGGGUCCAUUCAAGGUCACCAAGCAAGAGGAGGGGUGGACCAGCUCCAAGAUGA
rnacentral:rRNA from 1 species